rnacentral:rRNA from 1 species
AACGAACGCUGGCGGCAUGCCUAACACAUGCAAGUCGAACGAGACCUUCGGGGCUAGUGGCGCACGGGUGCGUAACGCGUGGGAACCUGCCCUUAGGUUCGGAAUAACUCCCCGAAAGGGGUGCUAAUACCGGAUAAUGUCUUCGGACCAAAGAUUUAUCGCCUUUGGAUGGGCCCGCGUUGGAUUAGCUAGUUGGUAGGGUAAAAGCCUACCAAGGCGACGAUCCAUAGCUGGUCUGAGAGGAUGAUCAGCCACACUGGGACUGAGACACGGCCCAGACUCCUACGGGAGGCAGCAGUGGGGAAUAUUGGACAAUGGGCGAAAGCCUGAUCCAGCAAUGCCGCGUGAGUGAUGAGGGCAUUAGGGUUGUAAAGCUCUUUUACCCGGGAUGAUAAUGACAGUACCGGGAGAAUAAGCUCCGGCUAACUCCGUG